UACGUGUGAGGCAAGCGUUAUUCGGAAUUAUUGGGCGUAAAGGGCGUGUAGGCGGCUUCGUAAGUCUUGUGUGAAAGCCCUCGGCUCAACCGAGGAAUUGCACGAGAAACUGCGUGGCUCGAGUCCGGGAGAGGAUAGUGGAAUUCCCAGUGUAGCGGUGAAAUGCGUAGAUAUUGGGAGGAACACCGGUGGCGAAGGCGGCUAUCUGGACCGGUACUGACGCUGAUACGCGAAAGCCAGGGGAGCAAACGGG
rnacentral:rRNA from 1 species